UUUGCUCACACUCUAGCCUGUUCAAUGGCGAAUCCUAACGACGUCAGCAAGCUGUCGUCACCAGGAUACCGUUGAGAAGCCAGGUGGAACAGCCCUAAAGGUAUUCGUUGCAAUCCUCAAUCCCGACCACCACAUUCCGCUAAAGGUUAUAACACUCCCGAAGGAGCCACAUCCCUCCAGCCUUUUUAUGACGAUCGAAAUUGAUGUUAACCAGCGGACACGAAAGUGCUCCCCCUCGUCGCGAGAACGCAUACUGUGGCGGUUUUGAGGCUCGCCACAGCAUGCGUUCUCCCGACGAGAGGGUUGAUUUCGCGCCAGCACGACUG
rnacentral:rRNA from 1 species